CCUACGGGGGGCAGCAGUGGGGAAUAUUGGACAAUGGGGGGAACCCUGAUCCAGCCAUGCCGCGUGUGUGAAGAAGGCCCUCGGGUUGUAAAGCACUUUCAGUGAGGAAGAACGCCUGGUGGUUAAUACCCAUCAGGAAAGACAUCACUCACAGAAGAAGCACCGGCUAACUCCGUGCCAGCAGCCGCGGUAAUACGGAGGGUGCGAGCGUUAAUUGGAAUUACUGGGCGUAAAGCGCGCGUAGGUGGCUUGAUAAGCCGGUUGUGAAAGCCCCGGGCUCAACCUGGGAACGGCAUCCGGAACUGUCAAGCUAGAGUGCAGGAGAGGAAGGUAGAAUUCCCGGUGUAGCGGUGAAAUGCGUAGAGAUCGGGAGGAAUACCAGUAGCGAAGGCGGCCUUCUGGACUGACACUGACACUGAGGUGCGAAAGCGUGGGUAGCAAACAGGAUUAGAUACCCUUGUAGUC
rnacentral:rRNA from 1 species